AGCCAGCGCUCAGCUAGGCACUGAGGCCAUGCGGGCAAAUCACACAGACAGAGCCCUUGCCUUGAGGUACCUUCAGCCUGUGGGCGAGCAGACCAGAGCUGACCCAAAGUGACUUCUUGCUCAGGAAACACAGGACGGGUUGAGCUGUUUGAUAGCUGGGCGGGGCAAGGAGCUGAAGGGUAACUCGGAGGAGGGUCAUCUCUGUUAGAAUUGAGAGAUGAGCAGGUAGCCAGAUGAAAAUGUCAGGGGUCAGGGGACAGCAGGACCAGAGCCCAGAAGAGGAGGAGGGAAAGCCAGGAGCUCAGACAGGAAAGGAACCCAACCUUCAGAACAACCCCGGGAGGCAGGAAACCACCACUGUCACCAUCCCCACUGUACAAAGAGGGAAACCGAGGUACUCAGUGGCCAGGCACCCUGCCGAAGAUGCUAUAACAAAUGAAUGAUGGAGUCCUACUUCGACCCCAGGCCGUCUGGCUUCCGGGUCCACCCAACACGCUGAGCUGCGACUGAGUCUCCGACAGAACUGAUGUGGUAAAGGAAUAGGAAGGCCUUCCGUUGGUAACAAGAUGGGCCUGCUGAGGGAGCAUGUGGUGAGAGUGUAUCCAGUCUCUCUGGCACAAUGUGUGCUUGCUAAAGCCUCCAUGAGCUUGGUGACUCAGCUGCUGUGGCAUAAUAACAAAGGCGGAAGAAAUCCCACCUCCUCUGGCUGGGAAGUGGUCUCCUGAGUGAUCUGCAUCCCCACAUUUUGUCCAAGCCACUGUGAUGGUUAACACUGGCUGAGCUUGACAAGAAGGAUCUGGACUCUGGCCUCCUGAUGCCUGAAAUCUCUUCCAUCGCUCCAGCCCACACUCGCCUCUCCCUUCUCUCAACUCCCAUGGCGCUUAUUGUGAGGCACACACAAUUGACUCCUGUGUGCAUUGUUCUCUGUUUUGAGUUCACUCAUCCGUGCAGCUCUCCCGAAUUGUCUGGGGAUGAGUCAUAAUUUGGGUGACUGUUAAAGGUUUAUUGCUUUAUGUAUAAAAACUUAAAAACCCCAGUACCCUGGACAUUAAAAAGCAUAUCUCUGA